GGGGAUGUAGCUCAGUGGAAAAGUACUUGCUUGUCAUGUAUAAGGUUUUGGGUUCAAUCUCAAGCAUCUCCA
rnacentral:tRNA from 1 species